rnacentral:rRNA from 1 species
UAACGAAUAUUCCGCAAUGCGCGAAAGCGUGACGGAGCAAUGCCGCGUGCAGGAUGAAGCCUUUCGGGGUGUAAACUGCUGUCAGGGGACAGGAACACAAUGACCAUCCCCAAAGGAAGGGCCGGCUAACUUCGUGCCAGCAGCCGCGGUAAUACGAAGGGCCCGAGCGUUAAUCGGAAUCACUGGGCUUAAAGCGUACGCAGGCGGAUGUGAAGGCAUCUUGUGAAAUCCCUCGGCUCAACCGAGGAACUGCAGGGUGAACCGCACGUCUUGAGACAAGUAGGGGCUGUCGGAACGCUAGGUGGAGUGGUGAAAUGCGUUGAUAUCUAGCGGAACGCCAAAGGAGAAAUCAGGCAGCUGGGCUUGUUCUGACGCUGAGGUACGAAAGCGUGGGGAGCGAACGGGAUUAGAUACCCCCGUAGUCC